rnacentral:rRNA from 1 species
AAAGUUUGAUCCUGGCUCAGCGAAYACUGGCGGCGUGCCUAACAUAUGCAAGUCGAGCGGUUUACUGUGUGACACUGUGUGUCACUUGGAACUGGAGAUGGAAGAUGAAGAGAUUCAUUGGAAGUUAAGAGAGAAAAAUGAUACAGAGUGUCAUACAGUAGAUAGCGGCGGACGGGUGAGUAACGCGUGAGCAAUCUGCCCUAGACUGGGGGAUAACACAGGGAAACUUGUGCUAAUACCGCAUAACGUAUUGAUAUGGCAUCAUAUUAAUACCAAAGGAGAAAUCCGGUGAAGGAUGAGCUCGCGUCCGAUWAGCUAGUUGGUGGGGUAAAGGCCUACCAAGGCGACGAUCGGWAGCCGAACUGAGAGGUUGAUCGGCCACAUUGGGACUGAGACGCGGCCCAGACUCCWACGGGAGGCAGCAGUGGGGAAUAUUGCGCAAUGGGGGAAACCCUGACGCAGCAACGCCGCGUGGAGGAUGAAGGUUUUCGGAUUGUAAACUCCUUUGACCGGGGACGAAAAAAAUGACGGUACCCGGAAAACAAGCCACGGCUAACUACGUGCCAGCAGCCGCGGUAAUACGUAGGUGGCGAGCGUUGUCCGGAUUUACUGGGUGUAAAGGGCGUGUAGGCGGGAUUGUAAGUCAGAUGUGAAAUUCCAGGGCUCAACUCUGGAGCUGCAUCUGAAACUGUGAUUCUUGAGUACUGGAGAGGAUAGUGGAAUUCCUAGUGUAGCGGUGAAAUGCGUAGAUAUUAGGAGGAACACCAGUGGCGAAGGCGGCUAUCUGGACAGUAACUGACGCUGAGGCGCGAAAGCGUGGGGAGCAAACAGGAUUAGAUACYCUGMUAGUCCACGCUGUAAACGAUGGAUACUAGUGUAGGAGGUAUCGACCYCUUCUGUGCCGCAGUUAACACAAUAAGUAUCYCAYCUGGGGAGUACGGUCSYAAGGUUGAAACUCAAAGGAAUGACGGGGCYCGCACAAGCAGKGAGUAUGUGGUUAUCGAAGCACGCGARAAUCGUACAGACUGACAUACAUGAGUACCUAAGAAAGGUUKKUCUUCGGACAUGAUACAGGUGGGUCAUGUUGCUCACCCUGGUCUGGAAGUUGGCUAGUCCCGCAAAMGRAGCGCCMACCCCUUAUUGUUUAAGU